rnacentral:rRNA from 1 species
UGGGGAAUCUUGGACAAUGGGGGCAACCCUGAUCCAGCCAUGCCGCGUGAGUGACGAAGGCCCUAGGGUCGUAAAGCUCUUUCGCCAGGGAUGAUAAUGACAGUACCGGGAGAAUAAGCUCCGGCUAACUCCGUGCCAGCAGCCGCGGUAAUACGGAGGGAGCUAGCGUUGUUCGGAAUUACUGGGCGUAAAGCGCGCGUAGGCGGCUAUUCAAGUCAGGGGUGAAAUCCCGGGGCUCAACCCCGGAACUGCCCUUGAAACUAGGUAGCUAGAAUACUGGAGAGGUGAGUGGAAUUCCGAGUGUAGAGGUGAAAUUCGUAGAUAUUCGGAAGAACACCAGUGGCGAAGGCGACUCACUGGACAGUUAUUGACGCUGAGGUGCGAAAGCGUGGGGAGCAAACAGGAUUAGAUACCCCGGUAGUCC